CUUUUGACUAAAGAAGAAAUCUAAUAGAGUAAUUUUAUUGAGUUUAUUACGUUGGUUAGGGUAGGGACCAGGUCUUUUACUGGCCCGGCCGGUCCUUAUUUCCGACCCGACAAUUGGCGAGGCCAGCCAGGAGAUUGAGUCCAGAGGCCGAGAGUUUCUGACCGGGACGGACAGCCUGUAUCUGAGACACGUGGCCACAUAGAAAAGGCAUGAAGGCCGUCCAAAUUCCAAAGUUUCCAGAGAGUAAGUGUUUGCUCGCAGUGAGUGUGCGAUGGCUGUCCUGGGAGGCACACAGCAGGUGAAAUUAAAUGGUAAAGAGCAGAAAAAAGAAAUAUUAGCUGCAAAGGUGGUCAAAGGAGGGAGCUGUGGCAACAACAUAUGUGGUAACAGCAAAACUAAGUAGUUAAAGAUAAAAUAAAAGACGUCAGAUAAGAGAUAGAGAAAGCUUAGAAUGAAGGGAAAAUAUGGAGAAACAGUUUGACCAACAGUUAGAUAAUAUUGACAUACUAUAUAGCCUUUAGUGAAGGAAAAGUAGUCACAGAGACAGAAUAAUGAAAGACCCCAUCCUGUUAGAUAAGGUCUAAAUAGAUAUACCCCCAGAUGAAGAAACGUAUAGAGCAAGUGGAAGAAAGAUAUAAGUAAGUGCAGUCAAGGGCCAGUACAGGCAGAAGAAGAAGAAAAGAAUUAGGGUCUUUAAAGGGUUGAGUUCAGAUAUAAAGGAGAGAUGGAAAAAGAGAGGCUAUAUUAGAUAGGGAGGAGACGAGAGCUAGAUAUGAAUAGAAAGAAUAACAACUCCCAAACAAAGUGAAAAGUUCGUCAUAGCACAGAUCUCAGAAAGACAAAAGAUCUGCCUACAGACCAAGAUACCUGCAGAGCACAACAAACCAUGAGACAUGACGACAGCGAGACAGAGCUACA